rnacentral:ncRNA from 2 species
CAAUACUCAACGGGGAGCCAUGCUGUGAUGCGCUGGCUGAGAUCGGUCAAUGACUGGGACCCGUGUACCUGAACCAGAUAAUGCUGGCGUAGGAAUUGAGUCUGGUCAUUUA